AGAACGAACGCUGGCGGCAUGCCUAACACAUGCAAGUCGAACGAGACCUUCGGGUCUAGUGGCGCACGGGUGCGUAACGCGUGGGAAUCUGCCCUUGGGUUCGGAAUAACAGCUAGAAAUGGCUGCUAAUACCGGAUGAUGUCUUCGGACCAAAGAUUUAUCGCCCAAGGAUGAGCCCGCGUAAGAUUAGCUAGUUGGUGAGGUAAAGGCUCACCAAGGCUACGAUCUUUAGCUGGUCUGAGAGGAUGAUCAGCCACACGUGGGACUGAGACGACGGCCCAGACCUCCUACGGGAGGCAGCA
rnacentral:rRNA from 1 species